UGGGUCUCGCUCGUUACCUGACUUAACAGGACACCUCACGGCACGAGCUGGCGACGGCCAUGCACCUCCUCUCAGCUUGUCUGGUAAAGUCUUCAGCUUGACCUUCACUCUGCUGUCGCCCCCGGUAAGAUUUCCGGCGUUGACUCCAAUUGAACCGCAGGCUUCACCCCUUGUGGUGCUCCCCCGCCAAUUCCUUUAAGUUUCAGUCUUGCGACCGUACUCCCCAGGCGGCAAACUUAACGGCUUCCCUGCGGCACUGAGUUAGCAAUAAGCCAACUCAUCACCGAGUCUGCAUCGUUUACAGCUGGGACUACCCGGGUAUCUAAUCCGGUUUGCUCCCCCAGCUUUCAUCCCUCACCGUCGAGCGCGUUCUGGCAAGCCGCCUUCGCCACUGGUGGUCUUCAAUGGAUCAACGGAUUUUACCCCUACCCAUCGAGUACCGCUUGCCUCUCCCGCCUCCUAGCUCUAUAGUAUCUUCCGCAGCCCAUCUGUUAAGCAGGUGGAUUUAACGGAAGACUUGUAGAACCGGCUACGGAUGCUUUAGGCCCAAUAAACGUCCCGACCACUCGGGGUGCUGGUAUUACCGCGGCGGCUGACACCAGACUUGCCCACCCCUUAUUCUGCACCAUUUUUAGAGGUGCCAAAAGAUCUCCUUAACGGAAAUCACUCAGAGUAACCCUGUCAAGCUUUCGCCUAUUGCAGAGGUUUCGCGCCUGCUGCGCCCCAUAGGGCCUGGGCCCUUGUCUCAGUGCCCAUCUCCGGGCUCCUCCUCUCAGAGCCCGUACCGGUUACAGGUUUGGUGGGCCAUUACCUCACCAACAGCCUGAUCGGCCGCAGUCCAAUCCAGGGGCCAUAUAGGUUUAAGUCAUUACCCAUUCCAGAAGUGAUGACCUAUCGCGGUUUAUCCUCAGUUUCCCGAGGUUAUCCACGUCCCCUGGGCAUGUUGACUACGUGUUACUGAGCCGUAUGCCACAUAUUGCUAUGUUGACUCGCAUGGCUUAGUCCCACUCUGAUAGCAGUCGGGUCCGGCAGGAUCAACCGG
rnacentral:rRNA from 1 species